rnacentral:tRNA from 1 species
UUCCUUUUAGCUUAGUGGUAAAGUAUUGGUGCGUAAAACUAGGGGCCGGGUUCGAUCCCCGACAAGGAAG